rnacentral:tRNA from 1 species
AGGAUAAUAAUUUAUAAAAAAAUAUUUAAAUUGCAUUUAAAUAAUAUAUAAUCUCUAAUUAUAUUUAUCUUA